rnacentral:rRNA from 1 species
UGGGUAACCUGCCUGUAAGACUGGGAUAACUCCGGGAAACCGGGGCUAAUACCGGAUGCUUGUUUGAACCGCAUGGUUCAAACAUAAAAGGUGGCUUCGGCUACCACUUACAGAUGGACCCGCGGCGCAUUAGCUAGUUGGUGAGGUAACGGCUCACCAAGGCAACGAUGCGUAGCCGACCUGAGAGGGUGAUCGGCCACACUGGGACUGAGACACGGCCCAGACUCCUACGGGAGGCAGCAGUAGGGAAUCUUCCGCAAUGGACGAAAGUCUGACGGAGCAACGCCGCGUGAGUGAUGAAGGUUUUCGGAUCGUAAAGCUCUGUUGUUAGGGAAGAACAAGUACCGUUCGAAUAGGGCGGUACCUUGACGGUACCUAACCAGAAAGCCACGGCUAACUACGUGCCAGCAGCCGCGGUAAUACGUAGGUGGCAAGCGUUGUCCGGAAUUAUUGGGCGUAAAGGGCUCGCAGGCGGUUUCUUAAGUCUGAUGUGAAAGCCCCCGGCUCAACCGGGGAGGGUCAUUGGAAACUGGGGAACUUGAGUGCAGAAGAGGAGAGUGGAAUUCCACGUGUAGCGGUGAAAUGCGUAGAGAUGUGGAGGAACACCAGUGGCGAAGGCGACUCUCUGGUCUGUAACUGACGCUGAGGAGCGAAAGCGUGGGGAGCGAACAGGAUUAGAUACCCUGGUAGUCCACGCCGUAAACGAUGAGUGCUAAGUGUUAGGGGGUUUCCGCCCCUUAGUGCUGCAGCUAACGCAUUAAGCACUCCGCCUGGGGAGUACGGUCGCAAGACUGAAACUCAAAGGAAUUGACGGGGGCCCGCACAAGCGGUGGAGCAUGUGGUUUAAUUCGAAGCAACGCGAAGAACCUUACCAGGUCUUGACAUCCUCUGACAAUCCUAGAGAUAGGACGUCCCCUUCGGGGGCAGAGUGACAGUGGUGCAUGGGUUGUCGUCAGCUCGUGUCGUGAGAUGUUGGGUUAAGUCCCGCAACGAGCGCAACCCUUGAUCUUAGUUGCCAGCAUUCAGUUGGGCACUCUAAGGUGACUGCCGGUGACAAACCGGAGGAAGGUGGGGAUGACGUCAAAUCAUCAUGCCCCUUAUGACCUGGGCUACACACGUGCUACAAUGGACAGAACAAAGGGCAGCGAAACCGCGAGGUUAAGCCAAUCCCACAAAUCUGUUCUCAGUUCGGAUCGCAGUNUGCAA